GACAGAGGGUGCGAACGUUGUUCGGAAUUACUGGGCGUAAAGCGCGUGUAGGCGGGAAGAUAAGUCGGGUGUGAAAUCCCUGGGCUCAACCUAGGAACUGCAUCCGAAACUGCCUUUCUGGAGUGAUGGAGUGGAAAGCGGAAUUCCCGGUGUAGAGGUGAAAUUCGUAGAUAUCGGGAGGAACACCAGUGGCGAAGGCGGCUUUCUGGCCAUCAACUGACGCUGAGACGCGAAAGCGUGGGGAGCAAACAGG
rnacentral:rRNA from 1 species